rnacentral:rRNA from 1 species
GUGGCGAACGGGUGAGUAACACGUGAGCAAUCUGCCCUUGACUCUGGGAUAACUGCGGGAAACUGUAGCUAAUACCGGAUACUUUCCUCGCUGGGCAUCCAGCGGGGAAGAAAGAAUUUCGGACAAGGAUGAGCUCGCGGCCUAUCAGCUAGUUGGUGAGGUAAUGGCUCACCAAGGCGACGACGGGUAGCCGGCCUGAGAGGGUGACCGGCCACACUGGAACUGAGACACGGUCCAGACUCCUACGGGAGGCAGCAGUGGGGAAUUUUGCACAAUGGGCGAAAGCCUGAUGCAGCAACGCCUCGUGAGGGAUGAAGGCCUUCGGGUUGUAAACCUCUUUUAGCAGGGAAGAAGCGAAAGUGACGGUACCUGCAGAAAAAGCACCGGCUAACUACGUGCCAGCAGCCGCGGUAAUACGUAGGGUGCAAGCGUUGUCCGGAAUUAUUGGGCGUAAAGAGCUCGUAGGCGGUUUGUCACGUCUGCUGUGAAAAUCCGAGGCUCAACCUCGGACUUGCAGUGGGUACGGGCAGGCUAGAGUGCGGUAGGGGAGAAGGGAAUUCCUGGUGUAGCGGUGGAAUGCGUAGAUAUCAGGAGGAACACCAAUGGCGAAGGCACUUCUCUGGGCCGUAGCUGACGCUGAGGAGCGAAAGCGUGGGGAGCGAACAGGAUUGGAUACCCUGGUAGUCCAC